AUGGAUAGCCGAGGUCUGGAUCGUGUCAACCACGCACUCCUGGUGCUCAUUCCUAAGGCAUUAGGUGCAGAUGCCUUGGAGAAUUUUAUGCCAAUCUCCUUACUUCAUAGCAUAAUCAAAAUCUUCUCAAAGAUCCUUGCUUUGCGGCUAGCCCCAAAACUCAACGCCCUGGUGGAUCAAUGUCAGAGUGUGUUCAUCAAAAAGCGCAGCAUACAAGAGAAUUUCCUAUACGUCCAGAACACUGCGAGACUCUUCCAUAAGUCUAGGAAACCUGCUUUUCUCCUUAAGCUUGACUUGGCAAAAGCCUUCGACUCGAUUUCUUGGGCCUAUCUCCUGGACAUGCUC
rnacentral:rRNA from 1 species